rnacentral:rRNA from 1 species
UUGAAACUGUAUCCCUUGAGUGUCGGAGAGGCAAGCGGAAUUCCUAGUGUAGCGGUGAAAUGCGUAGAUAUUAGGAGGAACACCAGUGGCGAAGGCGGCUUGCUGGACGAUAACUGACGCUGAGGCGCGAAAGCGUGGGGAGCAAACAGGAUUAGAUACCCUGGUAGUCCACGCUGUAAACGAUGAAUACUAGGUGUGGGAGGACUGACCCCUUCCGUGCCGCAGUUAACACAAUAAGUAUUGCACCUGGGGAGUACGACCGCAAGGUUGAAACUCAGAGGAAUUGACGGGGGCCCGCACAAGCAGUGGAUUAUGUGGUUUAAUUCGACGCAACGCGAAGAACCUUACCAGGGUUUGACAUCCAACUAACGAAGUAGAGAUACAUUAGGUGCCCUUCGGGGAAAGUUGAGACAGGUGGUGCAUGGUUGUCGUCAGCUCGUGUCGUGAAAUGUUGGGUUAAGUGCCCCCAACGAGCGCCAC